rnacentral:misc_RNA from 1 species
GACGGAGGGUGCAAGCGUUAAUCGGAAUUACUGGGCGUAAAGCGCGCGUAGGUGGCUGGAUAAGCCGGUUGUGAAAGCCCCGGGCUCAACCUGGGACCGGCAGCCGGAGCUGUCAAGCUAGAGUGCAGGAGGGGAAGGUAGAAUUCCCGGUGUAGCGGUGAAAUGCGUAGAGAUCGGGAGGAAUACCAGUGGCGAAGGCGGCCUUCUGGACUGACACUGACACUGAGGUGCGAAAGCGUGGGUAGCAAACAGG